CCCCAAUCACAAGCAGAGCUCUUGUGCUGGAUCAGGGUGACGGCUUCCUGGGAUCCCUCGUCCUAUAUAGGGUUUCCUGUAUCAAACAGACAUCACUAUGACUCGAGCUACAUCCUCAGUAGCGUUGGUUCUCAUCUUGUGUUCUUUUGUUUCUUGGGCACAGACAACUUCAGGAUCUGAGGAUGCGGAAAGGUAUUGCCGGAGUACCGGAGGGCUGUGUCUUAACGCCUGUGACCUUCCCUAUUAUCAGAGAGGUUCCUGCCACAACGGUCCUUGUUGUUCUUUAAUUUUAGGCUGACCUUUAAUAAAGACCUGAAUAUGAUCCAUCGUGUUUGCCAGACAGAUGUUUAUACAGUUUUGUCCUAAUUCUUUAGAUGCAUCAUAUAAUACAUUUUCUUUAUAUAUAAUGUGCUACUUUAUUACUAAUAACUUCAGACACAAUGUAUCAAAGUGAUUUAAAUGUUUAUGUUUAUAGAAUUGUUUCACAUCAACCUUAAUUGGAUCAUUUAUAUAUUUGCUAUGUUUCACAAUAUUAUUAAUAAAUGAGACGCUAAUAAAUACUA